rnacentral:rRNA from 1 species
UACGUAGGGUGCAGGCGUUAAUCGGAAUUACUGGGCGUAAAGCGUGCGCAGGCGGUUUGCUAAGACAGGUGUGAAAUCCCCGGGCUUAACCUGGGAACUGCGCUUGUUACUGGCAGGCUUGAGUGUGGCAGAGGGGGGUGGAAUUCCACGUGUAGCAGUGAAAUGCGUAGAGAUGUGGAGGAACACCGAUGGCGAAGGCAGCCCCCUGGGCUAACACUGACGCUCAUGCACGAAAGCGUGGGGAGCGAACAGG